CUGAGCCACAUUUCCAGUGCUCUUAUAUAUAUAUUAUUUAGCUAGAUGGUCUUGCUGAGUUUCUUAGAGCCUCACUGAGUUGCUCAGGGCCUCACUAAGUUGUUAAGCUGGCUUUGAACUUGCAAUACUUCUGUCUUGGCCUCUUGAGCCUCUGGGAUUAACUACAUUCAUUUUUAUUAUCUGAAAGACAAUUUCCCGUGACCUUGAAUUUGAACAUCAGCAGUCUGAAUCAAAAUGUUCAGUCAUAAGUAAUAAAAAAGUUGAAUUUAAUCAUUCUCUUAUUAGUAAUAUUUAGGCUAUUUCAAAGUUUUACAACUACAAAUAAUUCUGCAAUAAACAUUGUUUUACAUAAUAAAUUUCUAGGGAAAUUAUUACUGGGUCAAAUAAUUUUUUUUACUGGCUUUGACUCCUAUUUUAAUUGAGUUUAAUAAAUUUAAAAACUAUAACUAACUGGUUUCUCAAAGAAUAUUUUUGUAAAGUUCUAGAAUUUAAAAAAUUAUUACUAGUUAAUGAUUAAAGGCCUUACUAGUCAUUACUUUUAGAAAAGGUGGGAGCAAACACAGUAUAUAUUACUAUUUUAUUUAACCCAAUACUUUUCAAAUUUAUUUGAACUUGGUAUUACUCACUUCAUCUUCCUUCAAAUUUCCAUUCUUUCUUUCCUUUUUAAGGAUGUUUCUAAAAUAUCCCACAGGACAAAUCAGGAAUUGUCACUAUUAAGUUUCCUGCACAUGGCAUGUGUGCACACAAGCACACAAACACACACACAUACACACACUCACGAUAUAUUAUUUUGCUUUUUUACUUUAGAUUGCUCUAAAUAAUCAGGAGUUAACCAAGCACAGUAGAAGUUAAAGUUAUGUCUGGCGGAAGGAAAAGGUAGGUUAGAAAUAAAAUGAAAUUUUCCUUCUCUACCCUGAAUACUUGCUUUAUAUGUUCUUUCUCAAUAGUCUAAAUUCCUUUUGUGACCUCAAUAACAAAUAACCAGUAAAAAGAUUUAAAACAUGUUAAUAAAAACCAUAUUUUAUAAAAGGAUCAAGUAUUCUAAGAUUUUGUAAGUACCAGCCUCUGGUAUUUUUAAAAUCACUUUGUGUAGGAAAUACCAAAAUUUGUAAACAUUUUUUUCCAAAACAAGCUAUGAAUGAAGGGAAAUCUGUUUACAUAAAAUUAACAUCCCUUGCUUUUGUUAACAUUGUAUUUUUUACAAGUUCUGUUGUUUGCUAUUGGUAUACUUUGCCAUCAUUUUCUAUUUAUAUGCUAGGUGAGGAUAAAGGAUUCUGUGUUUUCAAUAUCUAAACUUGCAUACUGUAGGGUUUCUGGUAGGCUUUCAGUAAAUGUUUGUUGAUGUAGGCCUGGAAGUUCCUAGUCAUUCCAAGGGGCAUACAUUAAUGAUUGUCACACUCAAAUCUUAGGAUGACUAUGUUUUGUUGAAUAUAUCUUGAAAAUAUAGGUUAUUUAAUUU
rnacentral:lncRNA from 1 species